GUAGAAACAUUAACAAGUAAUUUAAAAUUCCUUCUUCUUUCAGACCAUAUCAUCUUACUAGAAAGCUGUACAUCUAUGGACUAUAUUAUUGCUGAGAAGACGUAAUGUCUGCCUGAUACACUCUUAAAAUGUUCAUCAUAGAUGCAAGUUUACUUUGGAACCUAGAGACCAUAAUCAGAAAUGUUCCACAUGCAAUUAAGAUAAUACUAAGAGCAAUAAAAACUGGGAAAGCAAGCAAUCUAGAAAUAAUCGUUCGUAAUAUCUAGGGGAAGAUUUUUCCUUCUAGCACAGCCUUACAACCAUGCAAGACCAGGUGUGCUAUGUGGCUAACUGUACUUGGGCUGAUUAUAAAGGCAUCUCCCUUUGCAGAUACACAGAUGGAGUGUCCACCACAGCACAUGUGCUCUUGAAAGAACCCCUGGCCUCUGUCUAUCCUGUCAUUUAAGUUUUUAAGAAGAUCCUCAGCUGCUAUCCACACUGUAAGCCUCAAACAGGUGCUAAAAAGAGCCUUAGCCUGAGCCACUGAGGGCACAAUGAUUUCCCUGAACGAAAGGCGCAGAAGGAAGCCCUACAUUUGGCUGCAGGAGAACUUGGUAUCUUUGAUCGUUCAUGACCCAUUAAUUACAUAUUUUUUAACUUACAUAAAUCAUCAAACAUUUUAUCAUUAACUUAAAAUAUUUACAAGCAAGGCGUUGUGAACUCUUUGCAAUGAAAGGGGAAAUAUAAUUUUAAAGUAUUUAUUGCUAAAAACUGCUAUUAUUGCAAUCACAGGAUUACUUUUGCAUUUAGUUUUCUGGUCUGUCUCUCCCAAAAGAAUGCCUGCUAGUGGUAUUGAGAGAAUGUUCUGCAGCUUUAUUGCCAUGGUUUUUAAAGUGCUACAAGUUUUUUCGCUUCGCAUUCAUAUUUUGUUUCCUCUUCUUGAGCUCUCACAGGAAAUCUGGCAAAGAUUGUGAUGCAGGAUCAGCAGAACUCCCUAUUUUGUUUGUCUGCUUUUCUUCUUUUUUUUUUUUUUUUUUUUUGCUGACAAGCAAAGUUCAGAGAAAUGCAGCUUACAAUUUGGAGAGCUGCAUAAAACUCUGGUGGUUAAAGAGGGAUGUAGGAGCUUCUCAUCUGUUCCACUACGACACACUGACUGCAGGCUCUACUGGGAGUGCUACAACCCCCUUAAAUCCUAUUCCAGUAAAACUACAUUUAAGACUGCUAUAUGCUCAAUAUUGCUACAAGGGUCCUCAUAGAGGUGGAAAGAUGAACGACCAGCCAUGCAAACAUCUGUUGACUGGAAAGAAGUUCAGGCAUGCCAUGACGACUAUUUCUUCUCAGGACCAGGACUCAGUCACUUUUCAAGUUCCACAAGUUGAGCCAAUACUUUCGGAACAAGAAGAACAUGAUAUGAAGACAUUUUGGUGUAAGAAUUCUCACAAUGUUCAUCCAAGCACAUGUAAACAUUUAAAAUAAAGGCAAUUUCAUA
rnacentral:lncRNA from 1 species